rnacentral:rRNA from 1 species
CGAACGCUGCGGCGUGCCUAAUACAUGCAAGUCGAGCGGAGGAAUGAAGGAAGCUUGUCUCUUUUAUUCUUAGCGGCGGACGGGUGAGUAACACUAAGGCAACCUAGCCUCAAGCUUGGGACGAACUACGAAACGGUAGCUAAUACCGAAUACAUGAUUGUUCGCCUGAACGAAUUUGGAAAGACGGAGCAAUCUGUCACUUGAGGAUGGGCCUGUGGCGCAUUAGCUAGUUGGUGAGGUAACGGCUCACCAAGGCGACGAUGCGUAGCCGACCUGAGAGGGUGAUCGGCCACACUGGGACUGAGACACGGCCCAGACUCCUACGGGAGGCAGCAGUAGGGAAUCUUCCGCAAUGGACGCAAGUCUGACGGAGCAACGCCGCGUGAGUGAUGAAGGUUUUCGGAUCGUAAAGCUCUGUUGCCAGGGAAGAACGUCUGAGUUAGUAACUGAACUCAGAGUGACGGUACCUGAGAAGAAAGCCCCGGCUAACUACGCG